UGUGCAAAGGACUAUGGGCUAUGAAAUCCGGUUCCCAUGGCAACAUUUUUGUUCAAAGCCUGAAGAAUCUUAAAUACAUGUGCCAAUACAUUUUAUUACCCAGCAGGAUACACAGAUAAUCCAGAAAGUAAUAAUCAUUCAUUAUAAUAGAUCUCAGAAAAUAUAUAAAGGAGAUAACACAACAAAAGGCAAAGAAAUGAUCACAUGGAGAUGCUUGAGUCACAUGACCUUGGCUGGUCAAACAGACUACCCAUUGAGGAAGAAGCCAUGGUGGUGGUGCACGUCAGAGGCCACUGACUUAUGAAGAAACCUUUUCCCUUGCCAUACGGCAAGAGAAGAAGCAUCAAUCAAUCAAUCAAUCCUUGCUGAGAUCAGAUAUGGCCACUUUCUUUCAAUACUGCAGUUGUCAGAUUCAUAAAAUAAACAGUUUGCUUGAGCCUGAAG
rnacentral:lncRNA from 1 species